AGUGAACGCUGGCGGUAGGCCUAACACAUGCAAGUCGAACGGCAGCACAGUAAGAGCUUGCUCUUACGGGUGGCGAGUGGCGGACGGGUGAGGAAUACAUCGGAAUCUACUCUUUCGGGGGGGAUAACGUAGGGAAACUUACGGUAAUAUAGCAUACGAUCUACGGGUGUAAGCAGUGGAACUUCGGAGCUUGCGCGUAUGAAUGAGCCGAUGUCGGAUUAGCUGGUUGGUGGGGUAAAGGCCGACCAAGGCGACGAUCCGUAGCUGGUCUGAGAGGAUGAUCAGCCACACUGGAACUGAAACACGGUCCAGACUCCUACGGGAGGCAGCAGUGGGGAAUAUUGGACAAUGGGGGCAAGCCUGAUCCAGCCAUACCGCGUAGGUGAAGAAGGCCUUCGGGUUGUAAAGCCCUUUUGUUGGGAAAGAAAAGCAGCAGGUUAAUACCCCGCUGUUCUGACGGUACCCAAAGAAUAAGCACCGGCUAACUUCGUG
rnacentral:rRNA from 1 species